GAUGAACGCUGGCGGCGUGCCUAAUACAUGCAAGUCGAACGGAGAAUAUAGCAAUAUGUUCUUAGUGGCGAACGGGUGAGUAACGCGUUGGUGACCUGCCCCGAAGCGGGGGAUAACAGUCCGAAAGGAUUGCUAAUACCCCAUGUGGUUAUGAGAGCUAGAUGUCUCAUAUCUAAAGGAGAAAUCCACUUCGGGAGGGGCCUGCGUCCCAUCAGCUAGUUGGCAGGGUAAUGGCCUACCAAGGCGACGACGGGUAGGGGGCCUGAGAGGGUGGCCCCCCACACUGGCACUGAAACACGGGCCAGACACCUACGGGUGGCUG
rnacentral:rRNA from 1 species